rnacentral:rRNA from 1 species
GACGAACGCUGGCGGCGUGCUUAACACAUGCAAGUCGAACGGAAAGGCCCUGCUUGCAGGGUACUCGAGUGGCGAACGGGUGAGUAACACGUGGGUGAUCUGCCCUGCACUUCGGGAUAAGCCUGGGAAACUGGGUCUAAUACCGGAUAGGAGCCAUUUUUAGUGUGAUGGUUGGAAAGUUUUUUCGGUGUAGGAUGAGCUCGCGGCCUAUCAGCUUGUUGGUGGGGUAAUGGCCUACCAAGGCGGCUACGGGUAGCCGGCCUGAGAGGGUGGACGGCCACAUUGGGACUGAGAUACGGCCCAGACUCCUACGGGAGGCAGAAGUGGGGAAUAUUGCACAAUGGGCGCAAGCCUGAUGCAGCGACGCCGCGUGGGGGAUGACGGCCUUCGGGUUGUAAACUACUUUCGCAAGGGACGAAGCUUUUUGUGACGGUACCUAGAUAAGAAGCCCCGGCUAACUACGUG